UUCCACUCUCUCAGAUAUUCCGAACGGCAUUUCAAUUUCGAAAUCGGAAAGUUGUUUCCCAGCAUCAGCAGCGGCAACUGCAUGGAGACGGUGUUGUUUGGGAAGAUAUGAAUUUUAUUAUGGAUUGAUAAGAAGCAACCGGAGCACCUAAUGCAGUCUGCAAUGAGCUCCUCCAGACAGGAAUGCGAAAUGCACCUUUCAGCAUUCGAAUAGCGUCGCCACGAUCUCAACCUGGGAUCAUAAAUGUUGUAUCUUUAUUAUCAUCCAUCAACAUUUGAAAAUUCAACUGAUGUAUCAAGAAACCAAGAGGUGCAGAUUAUUGCUCACCACUCUGUCCAUUAAAGUGAAGGAAUGGAUAUAAAGUGAUGUCAGAUUUCUGUCAGCUUAAUUUUCAUAUGAAAUUUUCCUUGCAUUCAAUUUAUUAUAAAAUCUUGUCGUUCCAGUAAAAACAACUUUU